AAAGGGUUUCCGCCUUCAGUCAAAUGGGUGUCAGAAAGGUAUCAAAUGUCUUGACUCCUCAACGGAUCAUCACCAUGAAGUGGAUGCAUAUAUUUCUACGCCUUAUCUUGGGUGCUGUUGUGUCCUGUCAGGACGUACUCUCUAACCCAGUAUUGGAGCUGACUGUGAGACCAGGAGAAAACGUUACUCUAUACUGUGACUGUA